rnacentral:rRNA from 1 species
AUAGUAAGUAGGUAUCCAGGAAAAUUCAUAAAUAUAUUGACCGUACCCUAAACCGACACAGGUGAACGAGUCGAAUAGACUCAGGUGAUGAGAGAACCACAUUGAAGGAACUCGGCAAAAUAUUCCCGUACCUUAGGAAGAAGGGAAGCCAAAAAUGGUGACACAAAAAUGGGGGUGACGACUUUUUACUAAAAAAUUAGGACUCUGCUAAAUGGUAACAUGACGUAUAGGGUCUGACGUCUGCCCGGUGCUAGAAGUAUAAAAGGAGUGUUGAAAGAUACGAAUGGAAAGCCUAGUAAACGGCGGUUGUAACAAUAACAAUCAUAAAGUAGCGAAAUUCAUUGCCAGCUAAUUCCUGGCCUGCAUGAAAGACGUAACGAUUGCCCCACUGUCUCCAGUGUGGACUCAGUGAAAUUGAAUUCUCCGUGCAGAUGCGGAGUACGUGCCCCAAGACGAGAAGACCCUGUGCAUCUUUACUGUACAUUUACAUUGACAAAACCAUACGUAUGUGUAGGAUAGGUGGGAGUACAAACAUCCUUGAAAUACCACCCUUACUAUGUUUUUUGUCUAACAUCGGAGAUAGACAAUGUAUGUGAGGCAGUUUGACUGGGGCGGUCGCCUCCUAAAGAGUAACGGAGGCGUGCGAAGGUAAACUCAAUGUAGAUCGGAAACCUACUGAAGAGCGUAAUGGUAUAUGUUUGCCUGACUGCAAGAUUUACAGAUCGAGCAGAGACGAAAGUCGGUCAUAAUGAUCCACAAGUACUGCGUGGAAAGGCUUGUGCUUAACGAAUCAAAGAUACGCCAGGGAUAACAGGCUGAUAAUUCCCUAGAGUCCAUAUCGACGGAAUUGUUUGGCACCUCGAUGUUGACUGAUCAUAUCCUGGGGCUGAAGAAGGUCCCAAGGGUUCGGCUGUUCGCCGAGUAACAUGGUACCUGAGUUGAGUUUAGAACGUCGUGAGACAGUUUGGAUUCUACCUGGGGUGCGCGUAAGAAUUGAGAAAACCACAUCCUUGUACGAGAGGACCGGAUGUGUACAACCUCUGGUAUAGUAAUUGUCCGGCCACGGGCAUGGUUACUACGCUACGUUGUGAAAGGAUAAGUACUGAAAGCAUAUCAAGUACGAAACUUUUUUCAAGACAUAUUCUUUAUCGUAUUGUAUAUCGUACAAGUUGAGUACGUUAAUAGAUAAGCUGUGUAUUAUUUGUAAAAAUAGAAGCAUCCUUAUACUAAAC